rnacentral:rRNA from 1 species
GACGAACGCUGGCGGCGUGCUUAACACAUGCAAGUCGAACGGAAAGGCCCUGCUUUUGUGGGGUGCUCGAGUGGCGAACGGGUGAGUAACACGUGAGUAACCUGCCCUUGACUUUGGGAUAACUUCAGGAAACUGGGGCUAAUACCGGAUAGGAGCUCCUGCUGCAUGGUGGGGGUUGGAAAGUUUCGGCGGUUGGGGAUGGACUCGCGGCUUAUCAGCUUGUUGGUGGGGUAGUGGCUUACCAAGGCUUUGACGGGUAGCCGGCCUGAGAGGGUGACCGGCAAAAUUGGGACUGAGAUACGGCCCAGACUACAACGGGAGGCAGCAGUGGGGAAUAUUGCACAAUGGGAGGAAGCCUGAUGCAGCAAAGCCGCGUGCGGGAUGACGGCCUUCGGGUUGUAAACCGCUUUCGCCUGUGACGAAGCGUGAGUGACGGUAAUGGGUAAAGAAGCACCGGCUAACUACGUG